UUAAAACUUUUACCUUUCACUGGGAACUAAGUUUUACUUUACUUUUUUGUCUGUGUAUUGCCUGCGUGUCUGGGCACCACGUGAUACAGUGCCCACAGAGGCCAGAAAGGGGCUCGGAUCUCUAGAGCUGGAGUUCCAGUGGGUUGUGAGUCACCUGGGUACUCGGAAUCGAACCACUGAACCUCUCGCCAGUCUUAUCAAUAUACUUAUUUUGUGUACAUGUGUGGCCGCGAGAGCCGCAGAGAACAUGAUGGACGUCAGAAUUAACACUCGCUGGGCUCAAUUCAACUUCCACCACUUGGAACUCUACCUCGAGUUCUCUGUUGCAAGCGUUCCCAGGCGCUGAGCCAUCUUGCGGAGCUGAAUAUGAGCAUUAAUGCUUCGCUUAAGCAUUGCUGACUAGGGGGUAUCCAGGCAUUCAAAAAAGGACUCAUGCGACCCAAGUCAGAGAAUUACCCGCUAGACCCCGCCCACCGAGCAAAUUUUCUUCAGAAGGGCUGUCCACUAUCCAAUCACAUUUGAGCAAAGGCGGGCAUCAGAGGUUCUGGGAUCGGCUAGUGGAGGAUUUGAAUGGUCCUGCCCAUUUUCAAUAUUCCACCAAUCACUUGGCCAAGAUCCAUUUUCACUUCCGGUUCGUGGGAAAGAAAAGGAAGUUCUUUGUACGGAAAACUGGAAGUUGACUGAAACCGGAACAGGAUGCUGAGAAUGGUCGGAACUGGAUGUUAACUUCGAUCGUAAGAUACCAGAAACAUAAAUAUGUUUCUCUGACGACUCGGCCUCCGUCGCUGUUGCUCUUGACCCAAAAUAAUUCCUCAUUCGCCCAAAGAGCCCAGAGCCGCGUGCACGCGGCUACCGCUGGUCAAGAUGGCGACAUCUAUGGUCCGAAAAGUCACCAUCUUGCCCAAAGGUCUAGAAUUGAGAUGGAAGGGCAGGGAAAGGCUAAAAAUUUGUGUGUCUGCAGGAGCUCGUGAUCUUGGGUUAGGGUACAAGGUAGGAUUAGUUUCCGCUCAGGACAACACUAGCGGGCCCCGCAGGGCUACUGGAGGGAUGAGACGCGGUGCUGUUUCCAUGGGAACCAUGCGCCUCACUCAACACUGUACCUGGAACGCAGGUACACGUACAGUCGGUGUUGAACGGUUAUAAGGAAUAUCUGCAGAUGUUACUUGGAAACAUGCAAAUAAGUGCUUUCUGAUGCAUCUCUGUAAGGAAAAGGAGCAACUGAAGGUCCUCCAGACUGCCGAUCUGACCUUGUCUCCCACGUGCACUCGGGUGGACAUAAAGACAGCGCUGCUUUAUGGAAGCAGGAAGCGUCCAUAUGGAGUCCCUGCAGUGUGUGCACGUGCUGCCUGGUGGGUAUGUGGAUAUGUGGAAGUCGACAACCUUCCUACCCACUUUGCAUCCAUGUGCUCAAUCCUCAGGAACUGCCUUCCCACAUUCAGGCUUCCCCACACCAUGUACACUCUCUGUACAGUCUCUGUGAUUGGGUAAUGUUUGGGCUUCCCCACACCAUGUACACUGGACAAUCUCUGUGAUCGGGUAAUGUUUGGGGUUCUGGGCACUUUUUGGAGAACAUAUAAAAUGCAAGGGUUCCCAAGAG
rnacentral:sRNA from 1 species